UGCCCUGCCAGGCAUAAACCCCGUCUGUGUUUCCAGAGAUUGACUUCUGAGACCCCUCUGGUCAAAUGCUGUGUGGUGCUGAUCUCUGUCCAAAGUACUUCCUGGCACUUUCAAAGGGCGUGUGGGGUUCUCAGAGAUGAGAGGAUGAUGAGGGGACAAGAUUUUGCCCGGGAUCGGCUAGUAAGCAGGACCCAGGGCUCCAACCCAGGGCUGAUCAUUCUCAGACGAUUUUGCCCUGUCCUGAGCAUCUAGACCUAUUGCCUGUAACAGAAUGGGAGGGAGGAUGUCUGGUGCCUAGACAUAUCCACACCAAGGAAUGUCCACCGCCGCGUGUGCAUAGCAGUCUGCACGGUGCCCGCAUGGAGGCCCUAAUGUGAAUGGUGACUAGCCUGCUGGUUGAGACCUUGGCAGUGACCACUGUGGGCAAUGAGCCAUGGGCCAACAAUUGUAUGUGAGCCUGUCUCUAGUAUUGAAGAUUUAUAUAUCUUAAUGGGAAAGAACCAAAAAGAUUCCAUGAUGUACCGCUGAUGGUGCCUAUCUGACUCUGAGACACCGUGGGCCAGGAAUCAAGGGACUCAUUUUGUGCUUGACUUCACCAAGUGGAUACACCCCCUCCAACUGAAUCAUCCUAGAAUGCCAAGGGUCUAGGUUUUUACCUCUGUGGGUAAGGAAAGAAGAGAUUUAUGACCCCUGAUUUAAUUAUUUAAUAUGGAACCAUUGUCCUGUGUAAGGAGCAUAGUUGAGAAUAAAGAAUGAGUGUGGCUGCCAUGGCUUCAUGAGUACCUUCUGGGAAGACCUUGCCUGUUUACCUCUGCAAAAGGAGGGAAGACACAACUGCUCAUUCCUCAGAAGCAUUGACUCGGUCUGCUCUAAACACUGGGCUACAUUAAUAAUCUCUACACUUCCUCUUGGUGUUUACCUGAAGACCCAAAGCCUGUGAUGAUGAUUGACACCUUGUUUCCCGGCUGGGAGGUCCAUGGUUGCCCUAUCCCCAUGUGUGAGGAUCAAGGGAACUGAUCGCUCGUCCCACUGAAGGAAUAGCUUCAGUCUGCUUUAAACACUGGGCCACACCCAUAAUCUCUACACUUAUUCUCAGUGCUUACGUGAAGUCCAAAAACCUGUGUGAGUAAUCUUCAAAAUUAUUGUCUUGUUUUAAUGAAUUUCUGUGUUAAAUAACACACAUGCACAUAUUACUAGAGAAGAGGAAGGCUAGUAUGGACCAAUGAUGACAAUUCCCCUGCGGUGAUAUAAGUCACGGACGAUGACUACAAUUAUGGGUGUCUGAGGUUCUCAUCAUAACACAUCUCAUUUGCUCCUGUUAGCCAGGAAAAACAAAUUGGCUUGUGGAGCACAUACUGUUCAUUAGAAGCAUGCACUUUCUUGAAUUUUCUUAGUGGAUCAAUGACAUGAUGUACAUAUUCACACAAAUACAAAUGAAAAUGAAUUUGUGGCAUUGAUCAACGAGUAGAUAAAUAUUUUACUGCAAAUGCUACUAUGACUACUUGUAGAUACUAUAGAAAUCUCUUAAAGAUUCAUUAGCUUAAAGAUGUAUAUAAACUUCAUCCAAGGUCACAUACGAAGUAAAAUUAAUGGGUUAAGCCCCACUGAGGGUCAAGACCUUAAUUUUAUAUCUCACUUGAUUUCUUAAGACACUAUCAUAACAAUGUGAGUCCUAAGUAACAAAUAGUGAUAGGAGAAAUGUAGAAAUCAUAUGAAAACUAUCAAUCUUUUUAUUAUCUUCUCUGCUGUGUAAUUCCUGGAUGGAUGAUGACUGACACCUUGCUUCCUGGCUGGGAGGUCCAUGGUUGCCCAGUCCUCAUGUGUAAAGAUCAAGGGAACUGAUACGAGUUACCCUUCCAUCUGGAUCACGAUGUCCAUGACUAGCCUAGGGUCUUGGGAGCACAGUGACCAUUGCUCAUCCCUCAGAAGGAAUGGCGCCAGUCUGCUUUAAACACUGGGCCACACCCCAAAUCUCUACACUUCCUCUCGGUGUUUACAUGAAGACCCAAAGCUAUGAUGAUGAUUGACACCUUGUUUCCCGGCUGGGAGGUCCAUGGUUGGCCUAUCCCCAUGUGUAAGGAUCAAGGGAACUGAUAACCUUCGUCAAGUACUAUGGAAGCAGAUACAGAGAUGCACAGCUAAGCACUGGCCGGAGCUCCCGGAGUCCAGUUGAAGCAAAG